CCACCCCCCGCCUUCCCUGCCCAAGCCUCCUCCGAGAAGCCCUUGGAACUUGUGCCGGGUAGCUAGGCGUCCGGGCACACGCGGGCUGCGUGGCCUUUGGAAUUGUGGGCAUGGCAGCCCUGUGCCCUGACAUCCUCAGUGUGGCAAGCCAUGAACAUCUCUAUGUGUCAUGAACACAGGAAACAUCUCUCUUCAUUAGGCAGGCCAGGUAGAU
rnacentral:lncRNA from 1 species